AACAUUGCGCAAUGGAGGGAACGCUGACGCAGCGACGCCGCGUGAGCGAUGACGGUUUUCGGAUCGUAAAGCUCUGUUCUUGGGGAAGAAGGUCUUCGGACUCGACGGCACCCAAGGAGGAAGCCCCGGCUAACUACGUGCUCGCAGCCGCGGUAAUACGUAGGGGGCAAGCGUUGUCCGGAAUUAUUGGGCGUAAAGGGUGCGUAGGCGGCCUUUUAAGUCAGGUGUGAAAGCCCGCGGCUUAACCGUGGGAUUGCAUUUGAAACUGGAAGGCUUGAGUAUCGGAGAGGGUAGUGGAAUUCCCAGUGUAGCGGUGAAAUGCAUAGAUAUUACACAGAACGCCGAUAGCGUAGGCAGGUUGCUAAGUCUUUACUGACGCUGAUGGACGAAAGCGUGGGGAGCAAAC
rnacentral:rRNA from 1 species